GAUGAACGCUGGCGGCGUGCUUAACACAUGCAAGUCGAACGGAAAGGCCCUGCUUUUGUGGGGUGCUCGAGUGGCGAACGGGUGAGUAACACGUGUGUAACCUGCCCUUGACUUUGGGAUAACUUCAGGAAACUGGGGCUAAUACCGGAUAGGAGCUCAUGCUGCAUGGUGGGGGAUGGAAAGUUUCGGCGGUGGGGGAUGGACUCGCGGCUUAUCAGCUGGUUGGUGGGGUAGUGGCUUACAAAGGGUUUGACGGGUAGCCGGCCUGAGAGGGUGACCGGCCACAUGGGGACUGAGAUACGGCCCAGACUCCUACGGGAGGCAGCAGUGGAGAAUAUUACACAAUGGGCGGAAGCCAGAUACAGCAGCGCCGCGUGCGGGAUGACCUCCUUCGGGGUAUAAACCUCUUUCGCCUGAGACGUAGCGUGAGUGACGGUAAUGAGUAAAGAAGCACCGGCUAACUACGUG
rnacentral:rRNA from 1 species